GACUUUGCAACAGAGCCAAUGGAUGAGGAUGGUAAACUAGAAUGGGAUUGCGGCCGUUGUAACACCAGCCUUGCAAUCCCCAUGGAAACUGAAGAUGGAGAGCCUCCAGCUACCGCCUCCAAAGUGGGAAACAUGUGUUCAUCAGAUUCUGAAACAGAAGUGCCUGUGAAACAAAAGCGGCGUAGGAAGAAGAAAAAAUGGACCCCAAGAUACAUGGUGUGACGCGCAUUGUUGUGAUAUUUCAUGCGGAGAGUAUACUUAUUCAGAUGAGUGUGGGUGUGGAUCGUACUUGUCAUCCAGGCCAAGGGUAUCCUAUUGUGAGUAUAAGUGCUGCAGGUUGAGCGAAGACUGGUCAUCUUGUGAUUGUCUGACCCCAAGCCCCAGCAACCCAAGGGCCGCUUACUGUAGGGCUGUGCGCUUUACUUCAUCGUCUGGAAGUGGGGAGGAGGAGGAAGCCAUGGACGGCAUUGUGCUUACAAAGCCUGAAGAGCCAGACCCAAUUGCGGAAACCGACAAGCUGGUAUGGGCCUUUGAGAAUAUGCACCUCGGGGAUGUCAAUGUGUCCUGCAUUUCCUAUGCAUGUACUGAUGGGGACCAAUAAAAGAAAUUUGUUUUAAA